rnacentral:rRNA from 1 species
UACGUAGGGUGCGAGCGUUGUCCGGAAUUAUUGGGCGUAAAGAGCUUGUAGGCGGUUUGUCGCGUCUGCUGUGAAAUCUCAAGGCUCAACCUUGAGCUUGCAGUGGGUACGGGCAGACUAGAGUGUGGUAGGGGAGACUGGAAUUCCGGUGUAGCGGUGAAAUGCGCAGAUAUCAGGAGGAACACCAAUGGCGAAGGCAUCUCGCUGGGACGGUACUGACGCUGAGGCGCGAAAGCGUGGGGAGCGAACAGG